AACGAACGCUGGCGGCAUGCCUAACACAUGCAAGUCGAACGAGACCUUCGGGUCUAGUGGCGCACGGGUGCGUAACGCGUGGGAGCCUGCCCUUAGGUUCGGAAUAACUCCCCGAAAGGGGUGCUAAUACCGGAUAAUGUCUUCGGACCAAAGAUUUAUCGCCUUUGGAUGGGCCCGCGUUGGAUUAGCUAGUUGGUAGGGUAAAAGCCUACCAAGGCGACGAUCCAUAGCUGGUCUGAGAGGAUGAUCAGCCACACUGGGACUGAGACACGGCCCAGACUCCUACGGGAGGCAGCAGUGGGGAAUAUUGGACAAUGGGCGAAAGCCUGAUCCAGCAAUGCCGCGUGAGUGAUGAAGGCCUUAGGGUUGUAAAGCUCUUUUACCCGGGAUGAUAAUGACAGUACCGAGAGAAUAAGCUCCGGCUAACUCCGUG
rnacentral:rRNA from 1 species